UGGUUGCUUCUUCUUCUGGUGUCAUAUCUAAAAACCUUGCCACAUUCAAGAUUACACAAAAUUUUACUUUGCUGUAUAUACAGUUGUUUUGGUGCUUUGAAAUAUUAAUGAAUUCAUUCUUUCAGCAACCCCAUGAGGUCGGUAAUGCUAUGACAACCACUGCCAUUUCAUUGGUGAGGAAGUUGAAGCAAAUAAAGUCCAAGUAACUUGUCCAGCCCCACAUCAUUAUGUAGUGGUUUCUCAGAGGCUUGAAUCCAGGCCAUCUGGAUCCAGAGUGCCAGCUCUUAACCACCACGUUAUGCUGACUCUUCUAUUUGGGCUGCUGUGAAAAGGGUUGAAUUCUUGAUUUGAUUCUCAGCUUGAAGUCUGCAUAGCCAAAGCAAGACUAAGCAAAAAGAACAAAUCUGGAGGUAUCACAUUACCCAACUUCAAACUACUACAGAGCUGUAGCUACUGAAACAUGAUGGCAAAGGUAUAAAAACAGACAUGUAGACCAAUGGAACAACAUAGAGAAUCCAGAAAUAAAAUUGAAUACUUAUAGCCAUCUGAUCUUUGACAAAACAAACAAAAACAUAAAGCGGAGAAAGGACAGCCUAUUCAACCAUUGGUGCUGGGAUAAUUGACAAGCCACAUGUAGUAGAAUGGUACUGAAUUCACAUCUCUCACCUUAUAAGAUAGAUGAAGGAAUUAAAUCUAAGACCUGAAACAAUAAAAAUUCUAGAAGAUAACAUCAGAAAGUCUUUUCUAGACAUUGGCUUAGACAAGGACUUCAUGACCAAGAACCCAAAAGCAAAUACAACAAAAACAAACAUAGAUCGACGUGACUUAAACUAAAAAUCUUCUGCACAGCAAAAGAAAUAAUCAGCUGAGUAAACAGACAACUCACAGAGUGGGAGAAAAUAUUCACAAACUAUGCAUCUGACAAAUGACUAAUAUUCAGAAUCUACAAAGAGUUUGAACAAAUCGACAAGAGGAAAACAAAUAAUAUGAUCAAAAAGUAGGCUAAGAUCAUGAAUUGACAAUUCUCAAAAGAAAAUAUACAAAUGGCCAACAAACAGAAAAAAAUGCUCAACAUCACUAAUUAUCAUGGAAAUGCAAAUCAAAACCACAAUGCAAUACCACUGUCCUCCUGUAAGAAUGGACAUCAUUAAAAAACCCCAAAAUAAUAUAAUAUUGGCAUGGAUGUGGUAAAAGGAAACACAUAAACUAGCACAACCACUACAGAAAACAGUAUGGAGAUUCCUUAAAGAACUAAAAGUAGAUCUACAUUUUUACCCACCUAUCCUAUUACUGGGUAUCUACCCAUAAAAAAAGAAGUCAUUAUAUGCAAAGACUCAUGCACACACAUCUUUACAGCAGUACAAUUCCCAAUUGUAAAAAUAUGGAACAAACCUAAAUGCCCAUCAAGCAAUGGGUGUAUUAAAAAAAUGUGGUAUACACACACACACACACCGUGGAAUACUACUCAGCCAUAAAAAGGAACAAAAUAAUGCCAUUCAUAGCAACCUGGAUGCAGCUGGAGACCAUUAUUCUAAGUGAAGUAAUUCAGGAUUAGUUCUAGCAAACUUCCAGACACAAAACAUACAACAUUUUGUGAUGAUAAAUAUCACAGUUGCCACAUAGUCCAGCAGGAACCCAAUC